rnacentral:tRNA from 1 species
GACUCAGUGGUCUAGUGGUAGAGCGCUCGUCAAAAACCAGAGGGUCCUGGGUUUGAUUUCCGAUAGGGUCG